rnacentral:misc_RNA from 1 species
CGACCCUCAAGCACAGCUUGGUGUUGGGCUCGGUCCUGCGGGACCCGCCCGCAACUCGUAGGCGGCCGCCGCCCGCGCCCCCAGCGUAGCAAGCUCACGCGUUCGCGUCGGGGACGGCGCGUCUCGGCCCGCCCGACUAAUUUUUUUCAAGGU